rnacentral:rRNA from 1 species
UACGGGGGGGGUAAGCGUUGUUCGGAAUUACUGGGCGUAAAGCGUACGUAGGCGGCUUUGUAAGUUAGAGGUGAAAGCCUGAUGCUCAACAUCAGAAUUGCCUUUAAGACUGCAUCGCUUGAAUCGUGGAGAGGUAAGUGGAAUUCCGAGUGUAGAGGUGAAAUUCGUAGAUAUUCGGAAGAACACCAGUGGCGAAGGCGGCUUACUGGACACGUAUUGACGCUGAGGUACGAAAGCGUGGGGAGCAAACAGG